UUUCUUUGUUACUUCGCACCAAAGACAGAAGCAGAGCCUUCUUCCUCGACUACGCUCGCUACUUCUAUCAACGAUCAUCCAGCUUCAAGUUCUGCUUUCAUUAUUGAGAAUAUGGUUGUAGGAGUUUGCGUGGGUACUAUACCGAUUCACAGAAUAUAUAGGUGAAAUAUGUUUGCUUUCUUGGAAUCUCUCUCUCUCUCUCUCUCUCUCUCUCUCUCUCUCUCUCAUCUCCAAAACGCAAGAAAGCAGAAAUUUUUUCGGAGUAGUUUGUUCUCUCAACGAUUUGGUUUCAUUGCCUUUUCUCAAGGUAUGACUCUUGCUAUACGAGUUUGAGUACCACAAAAAAACUUCUUCAGAUGAAAAAAAAUUGUUUCUUUCCCUUGCUAUUAAUAUCAUUGAUUGUAUCCUCAACAUUUGAUUGAUUUUCUGCAAUCUCACAGCCCACUACCACCUCAAGAAAUGAAAAAGAAUAACUAGCUCUGCUUUUAUGU